ACAGGGAUUGCCCCAGUAACGGCGAGUGAAGCGGCAACAGCUCAAAUUUGAAAUCUGGCCUUUUCGCCCUACUUGUUAUUUGUUGAGGAUGCUUCUGGCGACGUCUGCCUUCCGAGUCCCCGGAACGGGCCGCCGGAGAGGGAGAGAGCCCCGCCCGGUGGGACACCUACCCUAUGUGAAGCUCCUUCCACCAGUCGAGUAGUUUGGGAAUGCUGCUCUAACUGGGAGGGAAAUUCCUCCUAACUCUAAAUACCGGCCAGAGACAGAUAGCGCACACGUAGAGUGAUCGAAAGAUGAAAAGCACUUUGGAAAGAGGGUUAAUCAGUACGUGCAAUUGCUUAUAGGGAAGCGCUUGCGACCGAAAUCAGGCCUGGCGGAUCAUCCGGCGUUCUCUCCGGUGCAUUUCGUCACGCCUGGGCCAGCAUCGGUUCUGCUGGGGGGACAAAAGUGGGGGAAACGUAGCUCCUUCCGGGGAGUGUUAUAGUCCCCGGCAUAACCCCUCCGGCGGCACCGAGGACCGCGCUAACGCAAGGAUGCGGGAGUAAUGGUAGUCAGCCACCCGUCUUGAAACACGGACCAAGGAGUCAAACAACUGUGGGAGUGGGUGGGCGUCCCAACCCUCACGCGCAAAGAAAGUGAAGGGAGGUGGGAGCCUGGGCGCACCAUCGACCGAUCCGGAAGUCUUCGGAAGGAUUUGAGUAGGAGCACAGCUGUUCGGACCCGAAAGAUGGUGAACUAUGCUUGGAUAGGGUGAAGCCAGAGGAAACUCUGGUGGAGGCUCGCAGCNGGUUCUGACGUGCAAAUCGAUCGUCGAAUAUGGGCAUGGGGCGAAAGAC
rnacentral:rRNA from 1 species